GUCCCUCCCUCUAAAAGCACUCUGUGUGGGGAACAUGAGAGCCAGACCAAAGCUCAGAGGAAUCAACCUGAACCUCCACCCAGCUGUGUGUCCUUAAGGAGUGACCACUCAAAACGUGACCCCAUUGAAUUUAAACACCAGCAGGUGUCUGCUGCAGAGAGGAGACCACUGGCUAAAAGGACAUACACAAAAAAACGAGGAACUAAAUGUAAACAUGAGCCUGAACCCAGCUGUAUGUCCUUAAGGAGUAAACAGUCAAAACGUGACCCCCUUGAAUUUAAACAUCAUGGGUCUGCUGCAUACAGGAGACCAUUGACUCAAACAACAUGCAGGAGAAAACGAGGAACUAAACGUAUAAAUGAACCUGGAUCCAGCUGUAUGUCCGUAAGGAGUAAACAGUCAAAACGUGACCCCCUUGAAUUUAAACAUCAUGGGUCUGCUGCAUACAGAGUGGAUCAGGAGAGCUCAGAGGUUCCCAGUGGUCAGUCUGCCCAGCAGGAUCAAACAAG